rnacentral:rRNA from 1 species
AUUGAACGCUGGCGGCAUGCCUUACACAUGCAAGUCGAACGGCAGCACAGGAGAGCUUGCUCUCUGGGUGGCGAGUGGCGGACGGGUGAGGAAUACAUCGGAAUCUACUUUUUCGUGGGGGAUAACGUAGGGAAACUUACGCUAAUACCGCAUACGACCUACGGGUGAAAGCAGGGGACCUUCGGGCCUUGCGCGAUUGAAUGAGCCGAUGUCGGAUUAGCUAGUUGGCGGGGGAAAGGCCCACCAAAGCGACGUGCCGUAGCUGGUCUGAGAGGAUGAUCAGCCACACUGGAACUGAGACACGUUCCAGACUCCUACGGGAGGCAGCAGUGGGGAAUAUUGGACAAUGGGCGCAAGCCUGAUCCAGCCAUACCGCGUGGGUGAAGAAGGCCUUCGGGUUGUAAAGCCCUUUUGUUGGGAAAGAAAUCCAGCUGGCUAAUACCCGGUUGGGAUGACGGUACCCAAAGAAUAAGCACCGGCUAACCUCGUGCCAGCCGCCGCCGUAA